UUUGGGAACAGGGAGCAAACCAGCCUGUUUCCUUGGAAUUAUCUCAGAGGAGUGCAGUUCUCUAGGAAUGGAUAAAAAGCCUAGUGAUAUUCCAAUAGGCUGCUCUCUAGUGGCAGUCCAUGUCAGAUGGAAUAGCUGGCACUUUGUUUUCUGACAGUGGAUAUAUUUGAAAGAGUUGACAUGAGGUUUGAAUUUCACACUGCUCCUGAGGCCACAGGUGGCAGAGACCCACUCUGGGAGUUUGAGAACAGGCUGUGCUAUGGAAGCUGGGGAUGGACAGGGAACCCUGGUGUGCUGCGGUCCAUGGGGUCACAAAGAGUUGGACAUGACUGAGUGACUGAACUGAACUGUGGUUCAGAUGAGGUCAACAGAGACACCCAGGGAGGACUGAGAAACAUGCAGUACCCAGCAGUGAGCACCCAGUGGUAGUCUGCUGCUGCAAGAAUACUUCCAGUCAACUUCAAGCUGACCUCAUCACCACCAAUUCCUCCUCCAACAGCUUCCCAUAAUUCAUUCUCAAUGCCUGGUCAAGGAUAUCAUUAUCAUGCACCAAUUUGAUCAGUUGAUUUCUCUGCUCAAAAUGCUUGUGAGAUGCCUUCAUUGGCUUCAUGUAUUACUUCUGGGAAGUGAUGGCCAGGAUCAUCCAUCCUCUUGACUUGACACUCUUUACACAGACCCUUUACUUGUCUGCAAAGAUGUAUCCUUUUUACUUCAUGUCUGCAAUUUUCCUGCCACCUGGCUGCUCAUGAAAAAGGAACAGAUUCUAGAACAUCACUUCCCAAGGUGAGGUAUAUCCAUUUCACUCUCUAAAUGAGGAAACUGCUGGUGCAGAAAAUCACUAAACAAAAAAGCAUCUCCUUCAAAUGCCCUCAUGAAAGGACACAUUUCCUGGCAGUGGAAUGAGGAAGUGAGCAACCAUUACAAAGGGGCACCAGCACAAGGAAUAUCUGUUCAUUCCAAAGAUCUGUGCCAGGCUCCUGGAUCUGUUAGCCACUGAGUGCUCUGCGAUGCCAGCAUGGAAGUACUGACAGCAGAAGAAAGAUCCCAGGCUUAAUGUAAAGUCUUGGAAUCAAUGCCAAGAAAAGUCCCUGCUUUUUAGCAACCAGUAUCCAAGAUCCAAAAAUCAAUGUUUACCCAAGGCAGAUGUCACCUCAACUCCUCCACAGUUCCUCCCAUUCUAUCCUGACAUGCUCUCUCAGAUAUGGUUUUUCUAAGUACAGAGCUUUGUUUUCCUGGAAGAAGCUAUGUUAUAAUGGAAAGAAUUUUCUAACUUGAUAUAAUACUAGCUUUCAACUCCCAAUUUUGUCUCUUACUGUCUUCAUAAACCCCACCAAAUUCUGUGAGCCUGUCCUCCCACUGACAUAAGGGAAAAAUAAUAUCUGCCCCUUGGUAUUCUUGUGAGAAUCAAAUGGUAUAUUGUAUAUGAAACCUCCAUAUAAAACUAAUUACAUUAUUCAAGUCUAUACCGGUAUAGUCUAGUCCAGUUAUCUCUGUUGUAAAAGUUGUCUUCGUUAUAAAUUGGCCUUUUAGUUUAGGAAGGAAGCAAUUGCAAAGAGCAGUGGAAGUCAAGAAUGUGGGCUGUAAAUCUCCUUUCUUUUCUUCUAAUCUUCCAGCAGUGUUUCAUCAUAAAGUGGUUGUCACCAACCCUCUCUUAAUCAGCCAAGAUCCCCAUGUGUAGGGGUUGUGUUAGGUGACAAUGAGAUAUGAG
ensembl:lncRNA